rnacentral:ncRNA from 2 species
AAAAACUAUAGAGGAGCUUUUAGUAAUAGUAAAUAUUCUAGUGGGCACACGAUAAUGAAUAUUGAAAGGAUAUAAAAGCCGAAGCAUUUAAAGUGGCAACUUUAAAGCUGGUAGAAAAGCAUAAAAGAUUUCUACUCUUUGUUAACAACAUUGGUGCUAUAGAUUUG